UAAGGAAUAUUGGUCAAUGGACGCAAGUCUGAACCAGCCAUGCCGCGUGAAGGAUUAAGGUCCUCUGGAUUGUAAACUUCUUUUAUUUGGGACGAAAAAGGGCCUUUCUAGGUCAACUGACGGUACCAGAUGAAUAAGCACCGGCUAACUCCGUGCCAGCAGCCGCGGUAAUACGGAGGGUGCAAGCGUUGUCCGGAAUCACUGGGCGUAAAGGGUGUGUAGGCGGUGCGAAAAGCCAGGCGUGAAAGCCCGGGGCUCAACCCCGGAAGUGCGCUUGGAACUAUUGCGCUAGAGUCUUGGAGAGGUUGGCGGAAUUCCAGGUGUAGAGGUGAAAUACGUAGAUAUCGGGAAGAACACCUGAGGCGAAGGCGGCUAUCUGGCGGUGCACUGACGCUGAGGCGCGAAAGCGUGGGGAGCAAACAGG
rnacentral:rRNA from 1 species